AUCGUUUAUUUGAUAGUUCCUUUACUACAUGGUAUAACUGUGGUAAUUCUAGAGCUAAUACAUGCUUAAAAUCUCGACCCUUUGGAAGAGAUGUAUUUAUUAGAUAAAAAAUCAAUGUCUUCGGACUCUUUGAUGAUUCAUAAUAACUUUUCGAAUCGCAUGGCCUUGUGCUGGCGAUGGUUCAUUCAAAUUUCUGCCCUAUCAACUUUCGAUGGUAGGAUAGUGGCCUACCAUGGUUUCAACGGGUAACGGGGAAUAAGGGUUCGAUUCCGGAGAGGGAGCUGAGAAACGGCUACCACAUCCAAGGAAGGCAGCAGGCGCGCAAAUUACCCAAUCUAAUACAGGGAGGUAGUGACAAUAAUAACGAUACAGGGCCCUUCGGGUCUUGUAAUUGGAAUGAGUACAAUGUAAAUACCUUAACGAGGAACAAUUGGAGGGCAAGUCUGGUGCCAGCAGCCGCGGUAAUUCCAGCUCCAAUAGCGUAUAUUAAAGUUGUUGCAGUUAAAAAGCUCGUAGUUGAACUUUGGGCCUGGUUGGCCGGUCCGAUUUUUUCGUGUACUGGAUUCCAACCGGGCCUUUCCUUCUGGCUAACCUUGGUCCUUGUGGCUCUUGGCGAACCGAUUUUUACUUUGAAAAAUUAGAGUGUUCAGCAGCGUAUUGCUCGAUAUAUAGCAUGAAUAUAGAUAGACGUUUGGUCUAUUUUGUGGUUUCUAGACAUCGUAUGAUAUAGGACGGUCGGGGGCAUCAGUAUUCAAUUGUCAGAGGUGAAAUUCUUGGAUUUAUUGAAGACUAACUACUGCGAAAGCAUUUGCCAAGGACGUUUUCAUUAAUCAAGAACGAAAGUUAGGGGAUCGAAGAUGAUCAGAUACCGUCGUAGUUUAACCAUAAACUAUCCGACUAGGGAUCGGGUGGUGUUUUUUUAAUGACCCACUC
rnacentral:rRNA from 1 species